rnacentral:rRNA from 1 species
GUGGGGAAUUUUGGACAAUGGGCGAAAGCCUGAUCCAGCCAUGCCGCGUGUGUGAAGAAGGUCUUCGGAUUGUAAAGCACUUUAAGUUGGGAGGAAGGGCAGUAAGUUAAUACCUUGCUGUUUUGACGUUACCAACAGAAUAAGCACCGGCUAACUUCGUGCCAGCAGCCGCGGUAAUACGAAGGGUGCAAGCGUUAAUCGGAAUUACUGGGCGUAAAGCGCGCGUAGGUGGUUUUGUAAGACAGAGGUGAAAUCCCCGGGCUCAACCUGGGAACUGCCUCCAAAACUGCAUGACUAGAGUACGGUAGAGGGUAGUGGAAUUUCCUGUGUAGCGGUGAAAUGCGUAGAUAUAGGAAGGAACACCAGUGGCGAAGGCGACUACCUGGACUGAUACUGACACUGAGGUGCGAAAGCGUGGGGAGCAAACAGGAUUAGAAACCCUAGUAGUCC